rnacentral:lncRNA from 1 species
UGUUGUAGGAAGCCAACAACGCACAGUAUACCACAUACGUUGCCAGUUAGAUUAAUAGGAUAAUAGUGAAGGAUGUUAGAUAUUCACGAACAGUGCUCUCGGAUCCGCUGAAGUAAUCACCUGCAGUAAGUAUGUCACCGACGAGCGUGCACGAGCUUGUCGUCGUGCACACGCAAAAUUAGCGUCGUUAACGCUCGCGUAGAAACCGCCGAACUUUUGAUUCACCGUAUUUUGCGUGUACAUCUCUUCUCCCGUAAAAGUCAGUCCGAAGCCUUCUGCGGACGGAAAAGAGUGCAUGGCACCUUCUACAUUUCGCAAAGUGGUGAAAGAAGCAAGACAUUAGCAGUAGCCCGCUAAUUGAAAAGUAAUUGCUCCUCGAGCGACGAAGAAGAUACAUCUCUGAAGUUUCACGUGAAGAGUUUUGAAGAACGAAAGGAGGGAAAAAAGGAAGGACAUUUUGUUACUUCAGUUUUUACUACUUCAUGGGAUUCCAUCAUUGAUGGAUGCUUGUUACAAUGCACGACGGAUGAAUAAUUAACAGUGCGAAUGCAUGAUUCAUGUACACAUAUCGCAAUCGACUGACUAACGCUCCACUUUGUAAUUCCAUGGAACAUUGGAGACGUAUUUACUUAUGAUAUUCCACGGUCGCGAUCGCGGUUAUCUUGGUAAACUUGAAGUAAUUUUAAAGCCGACACGUAGUCGAUAGAUCGUAGACAACGCUCGUUAUCUCGUAAUUAUCGUGCUGGGAAUAAAUGUACGACUCACUAAGUUAUUAGCAGGAAUAAUUCGCCGUCGACGUCUCCUCUUCCUCGACGAAAUCUAUUAUAACUGACACAACUCUCCGCGAAAUAUCACGUCGCCGUCGCGAUUAAUCGCGCGGUGUAAUGGUGUCGCCGUUAAUCGUUGAUCGAACCGCCUCAGUACUUUUAUCGGCGUUAUUGUUUUUCAAGAUUUUUCCGUGCUACGAAUUAUAUUUCAUGCUACAUUUCAUGCUACUCGAUACAAUAUUUUACGUCAGGCGGGACUGUACAAGAGAGGCUCUGAUCUCGUGAUCGAUUUUAUGAACGUUAGAUUUUCUGAACAAAUUUUUAACGUACAGUAUGUAUGACGACAACUAUGAACGACCAAAAGUUAUGAUAAUAAUUGUUAUAAGAUAAUUGCAAAGUAAAGAUGUAAAAAGCGUACAACGGAAAUAUCUUAAAAACUGUAACUGUAAUUUUUUAAUAUUUCUCUCGCUCUUCGUCGAAAAUACGUUGAAAAAUCAUAAUAAAUCGCAAUAAAAAUUACUUAUCAAUACCACGAACACAACAAAUGCUGCACGAUCAAGGAUCGAUCGAUAGGUUGGAUUGCGACUUCCUCAGUGAAGAGUGAACGGAUUCUGCCGUUGCUGUCGAAAAUCCGAAUGAUCGACGUGUAUUUGCGAGUGAAUCGAACGAGAUUGAUGGACGUUUAUGGUACAUCCCGGCGCAGUGUGGGGAUAAUUAUACUUUGGAUUGAAGUCUCCUUUGUGUGCUUGGAUCCUCUUUAUAAAGGAAACCGGAUAUUGCAUUUGCAGAGCUCUGAUUGGCAGCCCGACUACGCAGUAACGUUUCGCACAAUUGGAACUUUGUAAUUAUUGUUUCCGGCUAAAUACGUACAGAUGGAAAAUUUAAUUAACUACGCUUCCGCGAUGCAAAAGGAAUAAAAAAAAAACAGCGGAAAGUGUCGCUCUCGAUACGCUGAUCCAAUACCAAGACUGGACUCUCAAAGGGGAGUUGAACUGUCAAGAGAAUACAAAUAUCGAUAAUACGUACCACACACGCCAUGGGAAUUUGAGAUUGCGACUUCUACUGGAAACACGUUACGUUCGUUUAAUACGAAGAUCAGCGCCUAAUUAAUUGCAGCAGCUUUUAUGGCACGACCGUCAUGUCUAACGCCUUCUGACUCGCCAUAAGCUACCCAUGGCGAUUUCCACACGCCUCGCGAAAAAGGCUCGAGAAAUCUGCUCCGAGCUACUCUCUCGGCGCUAUGGGGAACUUACCCUCGAGACAUUAUGAUUGAUGUAAUGUAAUGCCUGCGAAAUUGAUCGGAAAUUGCGCGCGCGCAUAUUCACGCGCGCGUUCCUUCAACAAUUACAACCAGUUUUAUCGCGGAAAUGGCGGGGCACGAGCGUAAGGAUAUUCGCGGGCCGCUCCGGCCGGCGUGAUACGCCGUAUGAAAUAAAAAGGAACGCCGCUAGACAAGCUGCGGAUCAAGAAAUAAAAAGGGAACGGGAAGCUCGGCGGUGCUCGACACGGCGAAGAUUAUGGUGCGAUUUUUGUUCCACGGGGUCGGCACGGCGAGAAAAAUCCUUGGCCGGAUCCCCGAUACUGUGUUGAAAAUACAGCGUUCCAGCACGCACUGGCAGUACAUUAAUUUCCAGAACUUUUUGAAUGUUGAGAGAGCAGCGGCGCGUUUGAAAUACUCUCCGGGGAAGAAAUUGUAAUGCAACAGUCGCAUUCAUGCAAUAAUACGCGGGUGAUUCCUUGCUAAAAGAUUUCAGGGAUUUAUUGAAAUCAUCGGAGCAUUUAAAAAUGCAAAUGCGAGGCACGUAAUAAUAUUCGCGUUUACAUUGUUGCAGCAAAGGGAUCGUUUGGAACGAGUAAAGCACUGCGAAGCGCUUCUCAAACGAACCGUUGAACGCGCGUAGAAAAAUAUUAAAUCAGCUGAAUACAUAACGUUUUAUUGAAGCGCACGAAGCCGCUUUUAUCGUUGAAACGAUCGUGUUGCAGCACAGUAUAACGCGCGGUGCUACGAUGCCGCUUAACAAUGAGCGUUUCACACGAUAAAUAAAUCACCAAGAUAUUCUCAGCGGCUAUGCACACGCGCUUGGCACUAUAUUCCCUCUAACAUGACUUACUUACCUGUUGUAAAUCCAAUAUUCAUGACAAAUACGGAUAAUUAAGCGAUAUUCUGAGAAAUGUUACGAGUUCGUAAAACGUGCAUUCCAACGAUACUAUAAAAAAAUUUGGCGCGGCUAUUAUAGAAACGAUAUAAUAACGCAGAUACACAAUGUAAAUCAUUUUACUGAAAUGGUAAUUUAAAUUACGCAGCGAGAUUAAUUGAUUCAUUAUAUAGAGCGGAUAUAUUUGUCGAUUACGAUGAUAUCGUUUGUAAGGUAAUAUGCGCAUGACGCACCAAACAACAAAAAAAAGACAACAAAAAUGUAAUACGUGUAAUAGAAAGGAGAGGAUAUUUGUAUUCAGUUUUAA